CCCCUCGAGCCCGCACCGCUCCCCUUGAUCCCAGCUUCAUGCCAAGCACCGUAGAGGGCAUAGGGGAGGUCUUCUUCCCCAGCUCCGGCCACCCGACCUGCCUUGGGUACGGGCUAAGUUCGCCCAAGGUCAUUGUGGUGAGAUCCAUCCUCCCUCGAAGCCGAUGAUCGCCGAGAGGAAGCCGCCGAUGCUGUGGUGCUCGUCGGUGAGCCAAUCCACCACUCAUCGACGCGGAAUAGUCCCCUCAACAAUCCUGUGCACCAUCACGAGCUCUGUGUUGCCGAUACCAAGGGAGAAGACGCCGUCGUCCACUUCACCGAGUCCACUUCAACUUCGUUGAUCCAGGCAAG